AGCAGCGUGGCUCAGUGGAAAGAGCCUGGGCUUCGGAGUCAGAGGUCAUGGGUUUGAUUCCUGGCUCUGCCA
rfam:Ornithorhynchus anatinus chromosome 3, whole genome shotgun sequence.